GGUAGCGUGGCCGAGCGGUCUAAAGGCUGGUUUAAGGCACCCGUUCUCCCCCGGAGGCGUGGGUUUGAAUCCCACCGCUGCCA